rnacentral:rRNA from 1 species
AUCAGAGGGGAAUAACCCGGCGAAAGUCGGACUAAUACCGCAUAAAACAGGGGCACCGCAUGGUGAUAUUUGUUAAAGAAAUUCGCUGAUAGAUGGGCAUGCGUUCCAUUAGGUAGGUUGGUGAGGUAACGGCUCACCAAGCCGACGAUGGAUAGGGGAACUGAGAGGUUGGUCCCCCACACUGGUACUGAGACACGGACCAGACUCCUACGGGAGGCAGCAGUGAGGAAUAUUGGUCAAGUGGGCGAGAGCCUGAACCAGCCAAGUCGCGUAGAAGGAAGAAGGAUCUAUGGUUCGUAAACUUCUUUGCGAGGGGAAUAAAGUGCAGGACGUGUCCUGUUUUGUAUGUACCCUGAGAAUAAGGAUCGGCUAACUCCGUGCCAGCCGCGGC